rnacentral:rRNA from 1 species
UACAGGGGGUGCAAACGUUGCUCGGAAUCAUUGGGCGUAAAGCGCUCGUAGGCGGUCUGUUAUGUCGGAUGUGAAAGCCCUUGGCUCAACUGAGGAAGUGCAUCCGAAACUGGCAGGCUAGAGUACUAAAGAGGGUCGCGGAAUUCCCGGUGUAGAGGUGAAAUUCGUAGAUAUCGGGAGGAACACCGGUGGCGAAGGCGGCGACCUGGGUAGAUACUGACGCUGAGGAGCGAAAGCGUGGGGAGCGAACAGG